rnacentral:tRNA from 1 species
GGCCUCGUGGCUCAGCUGCUAGAGCGUACGCAUACAAAGCGUAGGGGGCGGCCAUGUGUGGGUUCGAAUCCCACUGAGGCUA